UACGGGGGGGGCAAGCGUUGUUCGGAAUUACUGGGCGUAAAGGGCUCGUAGGCGGCCAACUAAGUCGGAUGUGAAAUCCCCAAGCUUAACUUGGGAACUGCAUCCGAUACUGGAUGGCUUGAAUUCGGGAGAGGGAUGCAGAAUUCCAGGUGUAGCGGUGAAAUGCGUAGAUAUCUGGAGGAAUACCGGUGGCGAAGGCGGCAUCCUGGACCGAGAUUGACGCUGAACGGCGAAAGCUAGGGGAGCAAACGGG
rnacentral:rRNA from 1 species